rnacentral:pre_miRNA from 1 species
GAAUUACUCCCUCCGUUCGGAAUUACUUGUCUUGGAUAUGGAUGUAUCUAGAACUAAAAUACAUCUAGAUACAUCCAUUUCUACGACAAGUAAUUCCGAACGGAGGGAGUAAAAC